UAACGACUCUCGGCAACGGAUAUCUCGGCUCUCGCAUCGAUGAAGAACGUAGCGAACUGCGAUACUUGGUGUGAAUUGCAGAAUCCCGUGAACCAUCGAGUCUUUGAACGCAAGUUGCGCCCGAAGCCAUUCGGACGAGGGCACGUUUGCCUGGGUGUCA
rnacentral:rRNA from 1 species